rnacentral:rRNA from 1 species
GAUGAACGCUGGCGGCGUGCCUAACACAUGCAAGUCGAGCGAACAGACGAGGAUUUUGCUCCUCUGACGUUAGCGGCGGACGGGUGAGUAACACGUGGAUAACUUACCUUUAAGAAUGGCAUAAGUUCGGGAAACCGGAGCCAACACCGGAUCAUAUAUUGAAACGCGUGGUUCUACAGUGAAAGACGGUUUUGCUGUCCCUUAGUCAUGUAACCGCGCUGCAUUGGCUAGUUGGUAGGGUAACGGCGUACCAAGGCUACGAUGCGUAGCCGACCUGAGAGGGUGAUCGGCCACACUGGAACUGAGACACGGUCCAGACUCCUACGGGAGGCAGCAGUAGGGAAUCUUGGGCAAUGGGCGAAAGCCUGACGGAGCAACGCCGCGUGAGUGAAGAAGGUCUUCGGAUCGUAAAACUCUGUUAGUAGGGAAGAACGGAUGUGUAAGUAACUAUGCACGUCUUGACGGUACCUAAACAAAAAGCAACGGCUAACUGCGUG